AUUGAACGCUGGCGGCAGGCCUAACACAUGCAAGUCGAACGAGUGGCGGACGGGUGAGUAAUGUCUGGGAAACUGCCCGAUGGAGGGGGAUAACUACUGGAAACGGUAGCUAAUACCGCAUACCAUCGGAUGUGCCCAGAUGGGAUUAGCUAGUAGGUGGGGUAACGGCUCACCUAGGCGACGAUCCCUAGCUGGUCUGAGAGGAUGACCAGCCACACGGGAACUGAGACACGGCCCAGACUCCUACGGGAGGCAGCAGUGGGGAAUAUUGCACAAUGGGCGCAAGCCUGACGGAGCCACGCCGCGUGUAUGAAGAAGGCUUUCGGGUCGUAAAGUACUGUCGGAGGGGAGGCGUUACUCGAAGAAGAAGCACCGGCUAACUACGUGCCAGCAGCCGCGGUAAUUC
rnacentral:rRNA from 1 species